UACGUAGGUGGCAAGCGUUGUCCGGAUUUAUUGGGUUUAAAGGGUGCGUAGGCGGCUUUGUAAGUCAGUGGUGAAAUAUGGCAGCUUAACUGUCAAGGUGCCAUUGAUACUGCGGAGCUUGAGUACAGAUGAGGUAGGCGGAAUUGACGGUGUAGCGGUGAAAUGCUUAGAUAUCGUAAGGAAGGCCGGUGGCGAAAGCGAGCCUCUGGACAGUUACUGACGCUGAUGCACGAAGGCCAGGGGAGCAAACGGG
rnacentral:rRNA from 1 species